AGUAAAGCUGAAACUUACAAAGAAUAUAUAAACGAAUUAGUGCAAAAGCCUUUAACUUUGAGUGAGGAAAGGUUUCUUAGAGAUAGAUUGAGAGAAUACGCUCAGCAUCUUUGUACAGAAAAGUUUAUUGCUUUUAAUGAUUGUAUUAAUAACAAUAAGUUAUCCGGCGGGCUAAGAUGCAAAUCUCUCUAUUUUGACUUAACGGAAUGUUUAGCAGCUUAUGCCACGGAAGAUAUAUUUCAGCAGUAUGUCGAAAACUACAGGCGUACGGAGCGUCCUAAAAUCAUUUUGGACAACUGGCUUAAAUCUGAAGAAGAACGAAGAGAAA